rnacentral:lncRNA from 1 species
AAUGAAGAAAGAUGCAAAUAAAUUGUUCCAAAUCAGGCUGCUCGGCCACUGUGCUGUGAGGAAUCCGUAACCCAAGUGUGACCCCUGGAGGAUGGUCCUAGGUCUGCUGCUGUGGCUCACGAGGGGAGGGAAGGGCUCGGCUCAGGGCCGAUCACAAGCCUCGAGCACCCCUGCCCCAUCAGAAUCCCAGUGCCGGAGGAGACCAUGCGCCGCAGAAGUCCACUUCCGUGUUUAAUUUCUCCAAGCUUCAAUAACAUUUUCCCUACACUGGGCCGCUGAAUCAUUACAGAGGGAGCGGUGUGUGUUUUCUCUCCUGGCUCUGCCGCUUUCAGGGCACCCCACCAUUCUGUUAAAGGCUCGGUUAUAUCCUUUUCAUCUGAGUGUUUCAUUCACAGCAGUGAUGUCUGUAGGAAAAGGGGAGAGCUGGGUAGGGGGUGGGGGAGCCAGGCCAUCACCUCCUCACCUGGAGUCCUGUCACUUGUUAUUGAAGCCAGCAAAGAGAAUUCAGUAUGGACCGAAGUCAUUCUCUGACAAGGCGUGAAAGACCAGUUGCUUUCUGUGGGCAGUUUGGGUGAUGCUGGAGAACCUGCUGAGGCAUUUCCCCCCUUUCUUAACCAGCAGAGAUUAAUUGCACUUCUGUUUGCAGCUGUGUGGGGGCCGCGGCUGUGUCUCUAGGCACAGUCCCCACUUUCUUGACGUCCUAUCACUGUCUCUUCUUGGUGCUGAUGUUUACUGCUUUGCGAAAUGCUUUGGAAUUGGCCUGUACAAAAGAAGCUAUAGAAAUGCAAAUCGCUCCCUCCUCCUGCCUCUCCAGUGAAGGCAGGAGGCACGUGCUCUCUUUGCACAAACUGCUGUGCUUUGCUUUUAGGCAAUUUGUUUUUAUAAGGGAAGUGCCUAUGCUAAAAAGUGUUUUGAUUUUUUUUUUUAUUUCAGUCAACUAAAAAGCUUUUUACUGUACCUGCCAACCUCUAAAUCCAAGAAUGUUUCCUUCAUGAAUUAUUUUGAAACAUCUCCUUGAACCAAAACAUUUUAUGUUACCAGAAGUUUUGAAGUUUUAGGUUCUAAAGUGUCUUACGUCUACCAUUAGAGCUGAUAGAUUAGACUAAUUGCUAUAGACAAUAAGCUUUUUUUACAGAGAUAGAUAGAUAGGUAGAUACAGAAAUAUAUAGAGAGAUAAAGAUUCUUUAUUUUGACUAACACUUCCAGUGCUCUGUGCUUCUCAGGGAAUCCCAAAGAAAGGCAAGAUGGAGAGAGAGCUGUUUCCUUAAGGCCUCUAAAAUCAGAAAGACAUGUUAGGUUAAGCCAUACGCUAUAGGUUAAAACUAUCAGCAAUUUCAUGUGGCUCAACCUAAUAGCUAUAACGUGAGGAUGUCAAAAAUGUUGACUGCCAUAUGGAAACUGAAAUACAAGCAUUACAAAGUUUGAAAGGUGGAGAAAGUCACCAAGAAAGACUUCAUGGAUGAAUUGAAACUCGAGUAGGAUUCUGGACAUGGAGAACGAGCUUGGAGUGUGCUUGGGAACAAGCAUAGUUUCCUAUUCUUGCAGAACCCAGAGGAGAUGCUGUAGAUGGGGUGAGAAGGGGGCUGGGAGCUCUAUUUUAUAGUGCUUUGGUUGGUGUGGCAUUGAGGUUUCAUGCAUGGGAAGCCAGAGUAAAACUGGGUUCCCUGGAGAGAAAUGGGAACCUGGAGAGCCCUGUGAUUGUGGGCAGGAUGAGUUUUAUACGUGACAAGAGUUAACACCAGUGGGAGAUGCUGGCAGGCAGUUGAACAUAGGUGUGGCGCUCAGAGCUGGCUGAGAUAAGUAUUGUAGUUACUGAAACAGAUUUAGUUGCCCGGGGCAGAGGAGAGGCACAGCAGUUCCUUAUCUAGUAGGGCAGGAGCCGGUAAAGGGGGCGUCAUUCAUCCACUUGACAUUUCUUAGAGAUAGUUUGGAAAAGGAAAGUACUGGUAAAGAGCAGUGUGUGCUGUGAAAAGAUGGAGGGGGAUGAGGAAGAAAAGAGCCUUUGCUCUUGGUGACAGUGCUGAUGACUCAGGGACCUUCAGGACACCAGGUCAAGGCUGUGGUUGGAGGAAGCCAGAGUGCAGGCGUUCAGCCUGAGUCCUGGGACUGUGUAAUGGGCAGGGCUCGGCCGGUUAGCAAGGGAUGGAGAGACAGAAGGGAGUUCUUGGAGGAACAGCAGGUCCUACACCACGUUGUACUCUUCCUAGCCUUUGACUGUGUGCAUGGCAGACUUUGAUAUAGUUCUGAUCAGUUCUAUAGUUCUAAUCUGAAUUUCCUUCGCUUAACAUUAUAUCCCAGGCAUUUUCCGUGUUGCUGUAUAAUCUUCAUUUCUAGGUGUCUGGAUAUUACUGUCUAAUAAGAGUGUUUAUUUGUAAGCAUUUCAGGAGUAUCUGGUUUUUAGUAUUACAAAUUAAGGCGAAACAAUUUCUCUAAAUGUGUCUUCUAAACUUAGAGGAUACAGCCUCUCUGUUUCAGUUUGCUUAUUUGUAAAAUGGGAAUAAAAAUAAUACCUACCUCACUGGGGUUUGUGAGGACUGCGGUAAUUUAUGCAAAACCCUCCAAACGGAGAGUGGCAUGGAGCUAACUCUACAGAAAUGUGAGUGUUGAUCAGCACCUCACCAGCACGACUGUCUUCAUUCUUGUUAGGCGGUUACUUCAGGGCCUAAGCGAUCACCUUAGAUGGCACAGGACAACUUUCCGUCGUGAAUCAGGAUGAGUAUAUCUGCGAUAAUUUAAACAGUUAAGGCGAUGCUAGUAGGAUGCAUAUUUUAUUGGGACAGUACAAUGUAUGCGUAGGUAAUAUUUACACAGUUAAACUAAAAAGCUCUGUGGAGUUUAUAAAUACAUUUUUGACCUUUAGACAUACAGCUUUUACUUAACCAUAGUAGAAUUUGAAUUUAGCAAGCUUAAAAAGACUUAAAAUUCCUCUAAUAUUAAGAAAAAAUAGACACCUAUGGCUGUACCAUUCAGCAAACACUCGUCAUGAUAUAAUUGCUUUUAAAAUAUAUGUUUAUAAAGUGGAUAUCUGCCACACACUAUAUUUGAAGCAAAUUGGAAAGAGUUCUUUCCUCCUACUUCAUACGCAGUGUUUCCGUGCUUAUUUUUGUUUUCCCUGCACCUAGAAGUCUUCGGCAUAUUCUUCACAGUGAAUUGAUUAUUUUUCUUUGUGAAGACUCUUGUCAACUCUUGCAAUAGAAUAUUCGAGCCCAUUCAAGUCAUGAGUCAUUCUUGCUCCUACCCUCCAGUUCUAACACACUGCGUAUCAAGAAUCCCUACCUAAUUUUUAAUUUAUUAUUCAGAUUUAUACAAGGAAAAUAAAGGUGUAAUGUAGCUGUAUAUAUCAAAAUUGUUGACUUUUUAAUUAGAAUAACUUCAAGUUACAGGGACUUGAGAAUCACAUAAGAUUUUGUUGGAGCAGAAUUCACUGUAUUCACAUGGCCUGUAUUAUUAUUAAUGUUAAUAUCCGUAUAGGUUUAUUAGUCAGUGUAUUAGGGUCUGCCAAAGAAACAGAACCAGUAUUAUUUAUAUGUAAUGAAUAGAUGGGUAGGUAGGCAGGUAGGUAGAUAGGUAGUGAUGAGAUUAGGCCCCCCAGUGAUGGAGGCUGCAGUCAUCAGGUUUAGUGUUGGUCUCAGUCUGAAGACCUGAAAACCAGAGAGGCGAUGGAUGGUAUAGUUCCAAUCUGAACGCUGGUUGGCUCAAGACCCAUAAAGAGCUGUUGUUUCCAAAGGCUACAGAAAUAAAUAGAUAAAUAAAUUAAAGUCUCGAAAAGUAAACAAAACAAAAACAAACAAAAAUCAGUGUUCCAGCCAGAUAGAUGGCUGUUGCGCAGGAGGAAUUCCCUUUGACUUGUAGGAAGAUCAGCCUUUUGGUUCAGGUCUUAAACUGACUGGUUGGGACCCACCCAUGCUGGGGAUAGCCAUGGAUUCAUUCAGUCAGGAUUCCAGUGUUAAUCUCAUCUGAACAAACUGCUCACAGACACACCCAGACUAAUAUUUGGCCAAAGGUCUAGGCGGUCCAUGGCCCAGUCAAGUCGACACAUAAAAUUAACUACCGCAGCCAGGAUUUGAGAAACCUCAUUAUAUUUUAUUAAUAUUAGAGGGAAGCCUAUUCUAUUUUAUUCUCUUUGUAAUAAUGUAUUAUAUACUUAAAGGAGAAAAUAAAAUAUGACUGUUUUACAUAGCAAUUUUCUUUAUAAAAGAAUUCACCCAGAUGGAUGGUCAAAAAUUCCUUUUAAAAUAUUCAACUUUCAAAGUUCCUGUUGUGCUCAGCAGAAAUGAAUCUGAGUAGCAUCCCUGAGGAUGCAGGUUCGAUCCCUGGCCUUGCUCGAUGGGUUAAGGAUCUGGCAUUGCCGUGAGCUGUGGUGUAGGUCCCCGAUGCGGCUCAGAUCUGGCAUUUCUGUGGCUGUGGCAUAGGCUGGCAGCUACAGCUCCAAUUCAUCUCCUAGCCUGGGGACCUCUAUAUGCCGUGGGUGUGGCCCUAAAAAGACAACAUAAUAAUAAUAAUAAUAAUAAAGUAUUCAAUUUUAUGAUGUUUAAAAUGUGUAUACACAUUUCAUGAAAUAGGUCUUUUUUGCAAUAAAUAUUAAAGGAUAUCCAUUUAUUACACUUAUUUUUCUAAGCUUUAUUACAUGACAAGAUCUGAGUUUGGAGGACCAGAGACAUUAGGACUUUAAUAGCCUAGGUUGUAAAUAUUAAAGAAAAAUAAAUGACCCUAAAAAGCCAGAUUAUUUAAUUGGUUAUCUGUGGUNAUAUAUUUCAAAAUUUGUGAAUAGUGAAAACCAGCUUUCAUUGACAAAGUAAACUGUGUAUAGUGACUAACAAAUUCAAGUUUUGGAAAUUCUGUAAGAAUAUUUACCUGUUGGAGUUCCCAUCAUGGCUCAGGAAAAACAAAUCUGACUAGUAUCCAUAAGAAGCUGGUAAAUUGUUUUCAUUUAAGAGUUCUAUAGAAAAGACUAGGCAGUUACACAUUCAACUGCAAAUUUGCUGGUUGUUUUAUUAUGUUGUGAAAUUGACAGAAUAUUAGAAUUCUUUGAUAUUCCUAUACAAUCUUAGAAUACAUGUUUACCACCAUUUAGGACCAUUAUUUAGUUACUCUUUAUAGAUGCUAUACUUUACAGUAUAAGCACGAAACAUGUAAGAGAAGUCGCUGCUGAGAAAAAGAAAAUGAACAUGAACUACUUAAUGUUUCCACUAGCAAAUGCUAAAUAAAAUCCUUGGUGUGCUGAAGAGAAGGUGGAAUGACAAUGGUGGUGUAUACACUUGUUGGAAUUUUCCCACCUGUUUUCAUUAUCUUUAUUUGUUUUUCAUAGUGGUCAUAGAUAAUGUGACCAUUAUAACUUGCCAUACAAAUUGGGAAAGAGAGAGAGAGGGAGAAA